ACUACGGGUGGCAGCAGUGGGGAAUAUUGGGCAAUGGGCGCAAGCCUGACCCAGCAACGCCGCGUGAAGGAAGAAGGCUUUCGGGUUGUAAACUUCUUUUCUCAGGGACGAAGAAAGUGACGGUACCUGAGGAAUAAGCCACGGCUAACUACGUGCCAGCAGCCGCGGUAAUACGUAGGUGGCAAGCGUUAUCCGGAUUUAUUGGGUGGAAAGGGCGUGUAGGCGGGAGCGCAAGUCAGAUGUGAAAACUCAGGGCUCAACCCUGAGCCUGCAUUUGAAACUGGGUUUCUUGAGUGCUGGAGAGGCAAUCGGAAUUCCGGGUGUAGCGGUGAAAUGCGUAGAUAUACGGAGGAACACCAGUGGCGAAGGCGGAUUGCUGGACAGUAACUGACGCUGAGGCGCGAAAGCGUGGGGAGCAAACAGGAUUAGAUACCCUUGUAGUC
rnacentral:rRNA from 1 species